rnacentral:misc_RNA from 1 species
GGAAGUACAAGUCGUAACAAGGUAUCCGUAGGUGAACCUGCGGAUGGAUCAUUACCAAAGGCUGUUUUUGGCAAGUUAUGUGAACGGUUUUGAACGACGGUCAGGGCGCCCUGCUUUGGUUCGAAGGGCGGGCUGGCUGUACUUUAAAUGUCUUUGCUUUCAAUCUGAAAUAUGCUUAGUUUCGCAACUAACAACAACAACAACUUUUAGCAACGGAUCUCUUGGCUCUC